rnacentral:rRNA from 1 species
UACGUAGGUGGCAAGCGUUGUCCGGAUUUAUUGGGCGUAAAGCGCGCGCAGGCGGUCCUUUAAGUCUGAUGUGAAAGCCCACGGCUUAACCGUGGAGGGUCAUUGGAAACUGAGGGACUUGAGUACAGAAGAGGAGAGUGGAAUUCCACGUGUAGCGGUGAAAUGCGUAGAGAUGUGGAGGAACACCAGUGGCGAAGGCGACUCUCUGGUCUGUAACUGACGCUGAGGUGCGAAAGCGUGGGUAGCAAACAGGAUUAGAUACCCGGGUA